rnacentral:rRNA from 1 species
AUUGAACGCUGGCGGCAUGCCUUACACAUGCAAGUCGAACGGUAACAGGUCUUCGGAUGCUGACGAGUGGCGAACGGGUGAGUAAUACAUCGGAACGUGCCCGAUCGUGGGGGAUAACGCAGCGAAAGCUGUGCUAAUACCGCAUACGAUCUACGGAUGAAAGCGGGGGACUCGCAAGACCUCGCGCGGACGGAGCGGCCGAUGGCAGAUUUAGGUAGUUGGUGGGAUAAAAGCUUACCAAGCCGACGAUCUGUAGCUGGUCUGAGAGGACGACCAGCCACACUGGGACUGAGACACGGCCCAGACUCCUACGGGAGGCAGCAGUGGGGAAUUUUGGACAAUGGGCGCAAGCCUGAUCCAGCCAUGCCGCGUGCAGGAUGAAGGCCUUCGGGUUGUAAACUGCUUUUGUACGGAACGAAAAGCUACUCUCUAAUACAGGGGUGAAGUGACGGUACCGUAAGAAUAAGCACCGGCUAACUACGUGCCAGCAC